GAUGAAGAACGCAGCGAAAUGCGAUAAGUAGUGUGAAUUGCAGAAUUCAGUGAAUCAUCGAAUCUUUGAACGCACAUUGCGCCCCUUGGUAUUCCAUGGGGCAUGCCUGUUCGAGCGUCAUUUGUACCCUCAAGCUCUGCUUGGUGUUGGGUGUUUGUCCCGCCUUGCGCGUGGACUCGCCUCAAAGCAAUUGGCAGCCGGCAUAUUGGCCUGGAGCGCAACACAAUUUGCGCCUCUUGUCAUGAUUGUUGGCAUCCAUCAAGACCAUUUUUUUGCUCUUGACCUCGGAUCAGGUAGGGAUACCCGCUGAACUUAAGCAUAUCAAUAAGCGGAGGA
rnacentral:misc_RNA from 1 species